GAUGAACGCUAGCUACAGGCUUAACACAUGCAAGCCGAGGGGCAGCGCAGUGUAGCAAUACAUGGGCGGCGACCGGCGCACGGGUGCGUAACGCGUAUCCAACCUUCCCGUUACUCAGGGAUAGCCUUCCGAACGGGAGAUUAAUACCUGAUGGUGUUGAAAUUCCGCAUGUUAUUUCACCUAAAGAUUUAUCGGUAACGGAUGGGGAUGCGUGACAUUAGAUAGUGGGGGGGGUAACGGCCCACCUAGUCUACGAUGUCUAGGGGUUCUGAGAAGAAGGUCCCCCACACUGGAACUGGGACACGGUCCAGACUGCUACGGGAGGCAGCAGUGAGGAAUAUUGGUCAAUGGUCGGAAGACUGAACCAGCCAAGUAGCGUGAAGGAUGAAGGUUCUAUGGAUUGUAAACUUCUUUUAUACGGGAAUAAAACCUCCCACGUGUGGGAGCUUGUAUGUACCGUAUGAAUAAGCAUCGGCUAACUCCGUGCCAGCAGCCGCGGUAAAAC
rnacentral:rRNA from 1 species